rnacentral:lncRNA from 1 species
UGUGAACCACCUUUUUUGGUAUUUCACAUGGCAGCAAUCUCCUUAGCCCUGUGUUUUUGGAAUCCUUUCUGGAAAAUGCAAGAGGAAGAGGAGACGAUGAUUUAAGUGUCAUUUCAAUCUUUGUGCAAGCCCCCUACCCAUCUCUUAGAACUUCUUGAAGCUGUUUGCUUUUGUCUUAUGUAGCUAACAGUACUUCUUUGGACUCUGUGGCCUAAGGCCUCUUUUUGAUGCUUAUUUUAACCAAAUUUUACCUAUCUAAUGACUUGGUCCCUACCUAAAGUCUUAGUCUUUUUCUAGGCUCUAAAGCCAAUGCAGUCUUUGAC